rnacentral:rRNA from 1 species
AACGAACGCUGGCGGCAUGCCUAACACAUGCAAGUCGAACGAGACCUUCGGGUCUAGUGGCGCACGGGUGCGUAACGCGUGGGAACCUGCCCUUAGGUUCGGAAUAACUCCCCGAAAGGGGUGCUAAUACCGGAUAAUGUCUUCGGACCAAAGAUUUAUCGCCUUUGGAUGGGCCCGCGUUGGAUUAGCUAGUUGGUAGGGUAAAAGCCUACCAAGGCGACGAUCCAUAGCUGGUCUGAGAGGAUGAUCAGCCACACUGGGACUGAGACACGGCCCCGACUCCUACGGGAGGCAGGAGUGGGGAAUAUUGGACAAUGGGCGAAAGCCUGAUCCAGCAAUGCCGCGUGAGUGAUGAAGGCCUUAGGGUUGUAAAGCUCUUUUACCCGGGAUGAUAAUGACAGUACCGGGAGAAUAAGCUCCGGCUAACUCCGUG